AUUGAACGCUGGCGGCAUGCCUUACACAUGCAAGUCGAACGGCAGCGGGGGAGAAGCUUGCUUUUCCUGCCGGCGAGUGGCGAACGGGUGAGUAAUACAUCGGAACGUGCCCUGUAGUGGGGGAUAACUAGUCGAAAGAUUAGCUAAUACCGCAUACGACCUGAGGGUGAAAGUGGGGGACCGCAGGGCCUCAUGCUAUAGGAGCGGCCGAUGUCUGAUUAGCUAGUUGGUGGGGUAAAGGCCUACCAAGGCGACGAUCAGUAGCUGGUCUGAGAGGACGAUCAGCCACACUGGGACUGAGACACGGCCCAGACUCCUACGGGAGGCAGCAGUGGGGAAUUUUGGACAAUGGGCGAAAGCCUGAUCCAGCAAUGCCGCGUGUGUGAAGAAGGCCUUCGGGUUGUAAAGCACUUUUGUCCGGAAAGAAAUGGCUCUGGUUAAUACCUGGGGUCGAUGACGGUACCGGAAGAAUAAGGACCGGCUAACUACGUGCCAGCCGCCGCGGUAAAAC
rnacentral:rRNA from 1 species